UACGGAGGGUGCAAGCGUUAUCCGGAUUCACUGGGUUUAAAGGGUGCGUAGGUGGGCAGGUAAGUCAGUGGUGAAAUCUCCGGGCUUAACCCGGAAACUGCCAUUGAUACUAUCAGUCUUGAAUACCGUGGAGGUAAGCGGAAUAUGUCAUGUAGCGGUGAAAUGCUUAGAUAUGACAUAGAACACCAAUUGCGAAGGCAGCUUACUACCCGAAUAUUGACACUGAGGCACGAAAGCGUGGGGAUCAAAACAGG
rnacentral:rRNA from 1 species